rnacentral:rRNA from 1 species
AACGAACGCUGGCGGCAUGCCUAACACAUGCAAGUCGAACGGAUGGUUUCGGCCAUCAGUGGCGCACGGGUGAGUAACGUGUGGGAAUCUGCCCAGCAGUGGGGGAUAACCUCUGGAAACGGAGGCUAAUACCGCAUACGCCCCUCGGGGGAAAGGCUUGCUGCUGCUGGAGGAGCCCGCGUCGGAUUAGGUAGUUGGUGGGGUAACGGCCUACCAAGCCUGUGAUCCGUAGCUGGUCUGAGAGGAUGAUCAGCCACACUGGGACUGAGACACGGCCCAGACUCCUACGGGAGGCAGCAGUGGGGAAUAUUGGACAAUGGGCGCAAGCCUGAUCCAGCAAUGCCGCGUGAGUGAUGAAGGCCUUCGGUUGUAAGACUCUUCGUCCCACGACGAUGAUGACGGUAGUGGGAG